GCUUACAGCCAUACAACUCUGACAAAGGCCGAGCUCAUCUGAUCUCGGAAGCAAAGCAAAGUUGGGCCAGGUUAGUACUUGUUUGGGAGGCUGAUUGGGAAUACUAGGUGCUGUAAGCU
ensembl:rRNA 5S_rRNA 5S ribosomal RNA